UACAGAGGUCUCGAGCGUUUGUUCGGAUUCAUUGGGCGUAAAGGGUGCGUAGGUGGCACUGUAAGUCGGGUGUGAAAUCCUGAGGCUUAACCUCGGAACUGCAUUCGAUACUGCGGUGCUUGAGGACUGGAGAGGAGACUGGAAUUUACGGUGUAGCGGUGAAAUGCGUAGAUAUCGUAAGGAAGACCAGUGGCGAAGGCGGGUCUCUGGACAGUUCCUGACGCUGAGGCACGAAGGUCAGGGGAGCAAACGGG
rnacentral:rRNA from 1 species